rnacentral:snRNA from 1 species
GUACUCGCUUCAGCAACACAUAUACUAAAAUGGGAAUGAUACAGAGAAGAUGAGCAUGACCCCUGCACAAGGAUGACAUGCAAAUUCUUGAAACAUUCCAUAUUUUU